ACUCAAAGGAAUUGACGGGGGCCCGCACAAGCGGUGGAGCAUGUGGUUCAAUUCGACGCAACGCGAAGAACCUUACCUGGGCUCGAACGGCUUAAGAUCGACUGUAGAAAUAUGGUUUUCCCGCAAGGGACUUGAGUCGAGGUGCUGCAUGGCUGUCGUCAGCUCGUGUCGUGAGAUGUUGGGUUAAGUCCCGCAACGAGCGCAACCCUUGUCCUGUGUUGCCACUCCGUAAGGAAGCACUCGCAGGAGACCGCCAGCGAUAAGCUGGAGGAAGGUGGGGAUGAUGUCAAGUCAUCAUGGCCUUUAUGUCCAGGGCUACACACGUGCUACAAUGGACGGUACAAAGCGCUGCAAACCCGCGAGGGGGAGCCAAUCGCAAAAAACCGUUCUCAGUUCGGAUCGCAGGCUGCAACUCGCCUGCGUGAAGCUGGAAUCGCUAGUAAUGGCGUAUCAGAAUGAUGCCGUGAAUACGUUCCCGGGCCUUGCACACACCGCCCGU
rnacentral:rRNA from 1 species